ensembl:snRNA U6 U6 spliceosomal RNA
GAGCUGGUUACAGCAUCUCAUAUACUAAUAUUCUAAAGGUAUAGACAAGAUUAGCAUGGCCCCUGCACAGGGUUUACAUACAAAUUCAUGAAGCAUUUUGUGUCUUU